rnacentral:lncRNA from 1 species
AAACAACAUUUUAUUGGAAAGAAGGUACUUUUCAGCAGGACCUUUUCCCAGAUUCUGGAGGUGUCUGAUCUCUGUACUCUUCUCCUUAUGGAGCCACCCCUGAAGGAUGAGGGAUUGAACUUGGGACCUUGCACUUGGGAAGAAGUGGCCGGAAUCAGUGAGCUAAAUCCCCAGCUCUAAUAAAUAUUUAUAAAGCAUCCUUGGAGGCUGAGGCAGAAGAAUCACAAGUUCUGGCCCACCUUGGGCAAUUUAGCAACUUAGCCAGACUCUGUCUAAAACAAAAACAGAAACAAAACUCAAACAAAAAACAGGGCUCUGGGGCCAGGGAUUUAGCUCAGUGGUUUUGCCACCUGUUACACAAGUGCAAGGACCCGAGUUUGAACCGUGGUACCAAAAAAAAAAAAAAAAAAACAGGCCUGAAAGGCUGAGAUAUUUAUUUAAUGUAAAGGCUCUGGGUUCAAAACCCAGUACUGGAGGACUGUGAGAGAAAUGGAGAGAGGCAAUUGUGAAUAGAUAUUUUCCGGAAGAGGAAACACAAAUGGUUCAUAAAGACAUAAAAAUAUUUUGAGUUUUAAUGUAUCAAGACAAUAUAAAUAAAAACCAUUAUGGCAUUCUUUAUAUAUGUCAGAUUUAUAAAAAAUAAAAAGUCAGCUAACAUCAAUUUUGGCAAGAAUAUGGAGCAAUAGGAAUUUACAAAGAAUCUGCAGGAGUAUAAUGUGGCACAGUCACCUUGUAAAAUAAUCUGGCAUUAACUAAUAAAAUUGAAUAUAUGCAUACUGUGUAACCUCAAAUUUCUCUUCUAUGUAUGUAUCUUACAGAAAUUUUUACACAUGAAACAGGCCAUGUUCAACAAAGCAUUAUUCCUUUUAGCAAAAUCUGGAAGUAAUCCAAAUAUUCACCAACAAAGGAUUGAAUGGACUCAGGCUCAUUACAGUACUGUCUCAUUGCUUUUAAAACAUGUAUCAUUUUAUGUUUUUACUGCCUUCUUCCUCCUUCUAGAAAAUAAGUUACCUGAAAAAGAUAAUAGGGGAUAUACAUAUAAUACUAUAUAGCAGUAACAUGUCUGUCUGCCUGUCUGUCUGUGUGACUACCUGUAUAUGGACACACGCAUGAUAUUGAACCAUAAAAAGAAGUUACAGAAAAAAGCAUAUAGAGUAAUGUUAUUUAGUAAAAGUUAAAAGAAGGCAAAAUGAAAUAAUUUGGGGUAAAAGUACAUACAUGUCAAAAAUUAAAAAGAAAAGCAAGAGAGCAGUUAGUGUUAAUUCUAUAAAGAUUGUCUCCCAAGGUAUGGAAGUGAGCAGAUCAGAAAGGACCCUCAGAGCCUCCCAAUGGAUCAGCAAUGCAGGGGUGCAGCAGUGUCAUUUUAUUAGUCUUCAUUAGGUGACACCUAUACGGUACAGAUAUGACUUUUAAAUAGUAAACACUCUAAUGUAAUAUUUUUAUAAAGAUUGACAGAUGUACAAAUUCAGGUCAAGAAAAUGUUAGGGUAAAAAUAUUAACUGGAGCAAAAUAAGUAGUUUUAUAUCUUAGCCCAAACAUGAAAUUAAAACAAUUAUAAGGAGAACGGCUAUAAAAUAGAAAGAGGGAGAUUUUUAAACAAGACAUAGAGCUCAGAAAGGGAUGCAAAUACACAGAAAUCUAGUAUGCAAAAACAGUAAUAGCUCACAUUGAUAAGGUGUUUACUAGGUACACUGCUACUUGAAAUUACUAUAUUAACUCCUGAUAGAUCAAAGAUUUAAAUAUAAAAUAGUCAUAAAUAUAUAAUAAAGGUAGGUAUUCGCUUGAGCAAAAUUUCCUACAGGCAGCUUUUGUUGACCUCCCUGGAAACUAAUAAUGCUUCCACUAUGGGCCACCAGAGCAGCCUGGAGGCUAAUGCUUUCCCCGUUACUAUGUAACAUUUUUUAUAGCAGUUCUGUGUUUAAUUCUCACUCACCCUGCCCCAAUUGGAAGACUGUGAACUGAAGGCAUGAUGUGUUCUUACUCAUUACUGUAUCCCUAGCAAUUCAGAGAGUACCUGGUGCAGAGUAGCUGCUCCAUAAUGAACAUUUGUUGAAUUCAUACAUGUAUGACCAAAUAAAUGAAUAUAGAUUUGGCCUUGGAUAGACUUGUGAAAUCAUAUAUAAAAGCAGAAGCCAUAGAAGCAAAUAAUUAAAAUAAUUGAUUAUGUCAGAAACCAAAACCAAAUGUACAGCAGGGAAAAGACAAUUGGCAAAAUGGAGAAAAUAAAAUAUGGUAGUACAAUGUCAGACAAAGAGUUACUAUAACUCAUUGACAAAAAGCUGUUAGAAAUUGAUAAGAAAAAGAUGAACAAAAUUGUUCACGCCUCAUUCCCACAUGUGCACACAAUUUAUUCUUUUUCAUGAUUCUGUUAACUGGGCUCAGCUGGGUAAUUCUUGCUUGGACUCCUUGAUGGCAGUUGCAAGCAGAUGUAGGCUGAGUCCACACACUCAUGAUGGCUUCCUUGCAAGGUGGCAGCUGCUGCUGGUUGAACACUGGGAGCCAGCACAGCUGCAGUUAGGGCUGCAUCUGGGGCUGGUGACCACAGUGCCUAUAUGUGGCUUCACUUGAAGUUGAAGCUUCUGUUACUAUAUCAACUGGGUCCUAGUGGAAGCCUCCCUCUGGUGAGUUGUCCAAAAGACCCAGAGAGGCUACGACGCUCUAAUGAACUCAUCUUGAAAAAUUGUACAGCCUCAUUUCUGCCAUAUUUCUCAUCCAG